rnacentral:rRNA from 1 species
UACGUAGGUCCCGAGCGUUGUCCGGAUUUAUUGGGCGUAAAGCGAGCGCAGGUGGUUUAUUAAGUCUGGUGUAAAAGGCAGUGGCUCAACCAUUGUAUGCAUUAGAAACUGGUAGACUUGAGUGCAGGAGAGGAGAGUGGAAUUCCAUGUGUAGCGGCGAAAUGCGUAGAUAUAUGGAGGAACACCGGUGGCGAAAGCGGCUCUCUGGCCUGUAACUGACACUGAGGCUCGAAAGCGUGGGGAGCAAACAGG